rnacentral:lncRNA from 1 species
UAAAUAUUUAGUUUCUGGUACCUAUCUACAGUGGUGAACAUGCAACUUCACAUUCUUUCUACCUGGAAUGCUUUUCUGCUUUCGCAGGUGCCUGGGACCUUUUUAUCUAUCAAACCCUACAAAGGAGGAUCCAUCUCUGUGAAACUUUCUUGACUUUCCAAACAGAGUUACUCUGCUUCCUCAGCUGUUGCAUGUUGCUGAGAUUCUGGGAAGAGGUCAGUGAAUAUGACAGACACGGUGCCUGCUAUCAUGGAGCUCACAAUCCGGGAAAAAGGCAACAGAAAAUUACCUACAAAAGUAAUUGUUCAAGAACAUUCUGAUAAGUAUAAUAAAGGAAGAAUGUAAGAUGAUAAAGAAACAAGCAAAAAACCAUGAUGACGGGGAAACUUGACUCUGCCUGGAAGGUAAGACAAGAAAUAACAAUGAAUACCGAUAGGUGGAUCUUUGGUUUACCCUUAAUUAACUAAUGGGCCUUUCUUCUUCCUACAUGACAGGCCAGGCAAAGUGUGCUGUGCAACCACACAACACUACUGAUGUUUCUUGCAUGAAGUCUGAGCCCCUCUGAGCUUUGUGACCUAAACUGCAAGGCUGGUCUCACGAAGCUGUUCUCAGAGCAAGAGUUAAGAAUUACUGCAGGUGAGAAGUCUGGAAGACAGUUGGGAAUGGAUGUGGAGUGUGAGGGUGCUACUGUGAGCCAUUUUCUAUUACACAAAAAUAAAUUUGUUCUACCUAAGGCUUAGGAGGGGAGAGAUGAGGGCACACAAUAUUUCUUUGUCGGCAGUUAUGUUUUCUUGGCAGCUUUGUUACUCUGGACCCAUCAAUGUCAACUCAUUGAUCCCAACUUAGCCUGUUGGCUCUCUCCACUGGUUUAAAAAAAUGUUUCUAAAUUAUACUGCAUCCCAUGAUAAAAUAUAUUCAGCUGUCCCCAUUUCUGUAGAUUUUCCCUGACUUCUGCGGCUACAUUAUGAGUUGUGCUUUUGUCUUUAUUCUUAUUCUUUUUGUCUUUAUUAUUGCUCUUUUUAUCACAGCAUCUUCAUCUUUUACCUCCAUCCUGCUCAGAAUCUGACUUAUGAUAAGGAAUGUGCUGUUAGUUGCUGAUGCCUAUGAAAUUCGGAAUGAUUGCUUAUUAAAAGGU